GCACAGUUCAGCGGCUUACGCAAUUUCAGUGGAAGCAAAAUGUGGUAGUGAAAUAAAUAUCCCACCAAAAGGACAUCCCAUUUACCAAUGGCCUGACGAUCUCUUAAAACCUUCAGUCAUCUUCCUGGAGCUAUGUGAAAGGGACCGUGUACUACGCAUGAAUGAAAGGGGCGAAAAAGAAACGAAUGAGGAAUUGCAGCUGAGGAAAAGUCAGUUAUUACGACAAAGGCAAGUUUUCAACGAAAAAUCAAGUUGACCGAUCUUAAAAUAAUUGAAAUAUAUUGUAUAUUUAUGAUAAGAAUUUCACAAGAAUGGCUAGAAUAAAAAUUAAUCAAAUACUUUAGAUUAGAAAAGAAUAGAAACAAAAUAGAAAUAGAUUGGCCAUUGGCAUACAGUAUAAUAUAUUCAGUCGAACGGUCUGUGCCAGUGUAGGUAUAAUACAAAAGUGACCAUAAUAAGAAAGUUUCGGAUUGAUAGGAAUACAACUAAGCGAAGACCGUUUGUCAGGAAGUUAAGCCCUGGGCAAACUAGGAAACAUUGUUGCGGAAACAUUGUUUCUUACCAAUGUUUCGCCAUGUUUCCCAGAGUGGGCAAACACUAGGAAACAUUAGUGAGAAACAUAGGGAAACAUCAUAUGUUUCUGAAUUCGCUAGGAAACAUUUUUGCUUCUCGGGAAGCAAAUUUUGUUUCCGCAACAGUGUUUCCACGGGUGGGCAAAAAGGGAAAUAUUUGAGGAAACAUCGAGAAUCACAAAUGUUUCCACAACAAUGUUUCCUAGUUCAGGGCCGUAGCAACCGGGGGGGGCUGGCUGGGGGGGGGGUUAUCAAUUUUAAGCUUUAUUAGUUUUAAGCGGCUACAUUAUCCAUGACAAACUGCAAAGAAUGAAGAUACUACCCACACUUUCCUGCAACUUAUCCAAUAUAUAGUUAAUUAAAUACACCUUCGCCCAUUUAGUACUACGAAAUUGUUAAUUUCGACAUACUAAACCGCUGUUUUCUGACUAUCAGAAUUGAUGAUUCCCCUUAUUACGUUUUCGUAGCGCUUUGCAUUGUGGUUAUAGUGGUAUCACUGAUAAAGAUAGCGGCCUCGAAUGAAAAUAUUUAAUGUUUUCGCGAAUAUUUUGCUGUUGGCUAUCGCGCACCUGGCCCUAGCUUUUUUAAAAGUUCUUGCACGGGUCAGGACAAAAGAUAAGCCAUCUUGAAUAUCAGUGAUACCACUAUAACUACAACACAAAGCGCUACGAAAACGUAAUAAAGGGAAUCAUUAAUUCUGUCAAAUCUUCCCCAAAGUCCAGGAAGUGGCAUUUCAGAGACUCUAAAUUUAAAAAUUUCCUCGGGCCUUCGGCCCUCGCUUUCAGCCCCCAAUAAAAAAAAGCUUCCUACGGCCCUGUUGUUUGCCCAGGGCUUUAGGGCCUUUUCCCCGAAACGACGAAGUCCUGCGUGUAUUUUUUCCCGACAAGUAGUGGUAUCUCUAUUGAAAUAUAUUGGAAUGGAAUAGAAUAUGCAGCUGAGAAACAGGGCAGAGCAGAGCAGGGCAGGGCAGAGCAGAACAGAGUAGAACAGAUUAGAACUUCAACAGAUUAGAAUAGAUUCUUCUUGCUACAACCAUUAUGAUAGGAGAUAUAGUCAACAAUUAAUUUCUCGUGAUAUGGAUGAACAGUCACAUGAUUCCAAACAGAGAAUAGAUUACAAUAGAACCGAUACCAUUAUAGUUAAAAUAAUUACAGUGGCAGUCACAAAAGAGCAAAUACAGUUAUGAUGGACAAUUUUAGCAAAUGAACCAACAUUGACGAGAGACGUGGUGGGGAUAAACAUAAUCGUAAAUCCUUUGAAAGGGAGCUAGGCUCAUUUGAUAGCGGGGAGAGGGAAGGGAGAUAAUAGAGGAUUUGCGCUAAUAAUGAAUAUAAUUUCUCCAAGAUUGCAUGUAUAGCUUCAUGUGACAUGCAAUUUUGACAGAUAUUCGUCAAAAGAUAAUGGCGGUGUCCAAUUUCAUUAAUUAAAAUAUAUAUGUCAUUUUCUCUGCAGGUUAAUUAGAGCAUACAAGAACAUGGAGAACCCUAGCUGCAUUAUUAUAGACGCAUCAAAGAGUAGAGAAGAAGUGUGUGAAAGUGUUAUUACAGAAUUAAGAAAUCGGAA